GAUGAAGAACGUAGCGAAAUGCGAUAAGUAGUGUGAAUUGCAGAAUUCAGUGAAUCAUCGAAUCUUUGAACGCACAUUGCGCCCCUUGGUAUCCCGAGGGGCAUGCCUGUUCGAGCGUCAUUUCACCACUCAAGCCUGGCUUGGUGUUGGGCGACGUCCUCUUUGGGGACGCGCCUCGAAACGCUCGGCGGCGUGGCACCGGCUUUAAGCGUAUCAGAAUCUUUCGCUUUGGAAGUCGGGGCCCCGUCUGCCGGAAGACCUGCUCGCAAGGUUGACCUCGGAUCAGGCAGGGAUACCCGCUGAACUUAAGCAUAUCAAUAAGCGGAGGA
rnacentral:misc_RNA from 1 species